rnacentral:rRNA from 1 species
UUAAGUUAUUAAGGGCGCACGGUGGAUGCCUUGGCACUAGAAGCCGAUGAAGGACGUUACUAACGACGAUAUGCUUUGGGGAGCUGUAAGUAAGCUUUGAUCCAGAGAUUUCCGAAUGGGGAAACCCAGCAUGAGUUAUGUCAUGUUAUCGAUAUGUGAAUACAUAGCAUAUCAGAAGGCACACCCGGAGAACUGAAACAUCUUAGUACCCGGAGGAAGAGAAAGAAAAUUCGAUUCCCUUAGUAGCGGCGAGCGAAACGGGAAGAGCCCAAACCAACAAGCUUGCUUGUUGGGGUUGUAGGACACUCUAUACGGAGUUACAAAGGACGACAUUAGACGAAUCAUCUGGAAAGAUGAAUCAAAGAAGGUAAUAAUCCUGUAGUCGAAAAUGUUGUCUCUCUUGAGUGGAUCCUGAGUACGACGGAGCACGUGAAAUUCCGUCGGAAUCUGGGAGGACCAUCUCCUAAGGCUAAAUACUCUCUAGUGACCGAUAGUGAACCAGUACCGUGAGGGAAAGGUGAAAAGCACCCCGGAAGGGGAGUGAAAUAGAACCUGAAACCGUGUGCUUACAAGUAGUCAGAGCCCGUUAAUGGGUGAUGGCGUGCCUUUUGUAGAAUGAACCGGCGAGUUACGAUUUGAUGCAAGGUUAAGCAGUAAAUGUGGAGCCGUAGCGAAAGCGAGUCUGAAUAGGGCGUUUAGUAUUUGGUCGUAGACCCGAAACCAGGUGAUCUACCCUUGGUCAGGUUGAAGUUCAGGUAACACUGAAUGGAGGACCGAACCGACUUACGUUGAAAAGUGAGCGGAUGAACUGAGGGUAGCGGAGAAAUUCCAAUCGAACCUGGAGAUAGCUGGUUCUCUCCGAAAUAGCUUUAGGGCUAGCCUCAAGUGAUGAUUAUUGGAGGUAGAGCACUGUUUGGACGAGGGGCCCCUCUCGGGUUACCGAAUUCAGACAAACUCCGAAUGCCAAUUAAUUUAACUUGGGAGUCAGAACAUGGGUGAUAAGGUCCGUGUUCGAAAGGGAAACAGCCCAGACCACCAGAUAAGGUCCCAAAAUAUAUGUUAAGUGGAAAAGGAUGUGGCGUUGCCCAGACAACUAGGAUGUUGGCUUAGAAGCAGCCAUCAUUUAAAGAGUGCGUAAUAGCUCACUAGUCGAGUGACACUGCGCCGAAAAUGUACCGGGGCUAAACAUAUUACCGAAGCUGUGGAUUGUCCUUUGGACAAUGGUAGGAGAGCGUUCUAAGGGCGUUGAAGCAUGAUCGUAAGGACAUGUGGAGCGCUUAGAAGUGAGAAUGCCGGUGUGAGUAGCGAAAGACGGGUGAGAAUCCCGUCCACCGAUUGACUAAGGUUUCCAGAGGAAGGCUCGUCCGCUCUGGGUUAGUCGGGUCCUAAGCUGAGGCCGACAGGCGUAGGCGAUGGAUAACAGGUUGAUAUUCCUGUACCACCUAUAAUCGUUUUAAUCGAUGGGGGGACGCAGUAGGAUAGGCGAAGCGUGCGAUUGGAUUGCACGUCUAAGCAGUAAGGCUGAGUAUUAGGCAAAUCCGGUACUCGUUAAGGCUGAGCUGUGAUGGGGAGAAGACAUUGUGUCUUCGAGUCGUUGAUUUCACACUGCCGAGAAAAGCCUCUAGAUAGAAAAUAGGUGCCCGUACCGCAAACCGACACAGGUAGUCAAGAUGAGAAUUCUAAGGUGAGCGAGCGAACUCUCGUUAAGGAACUCGGCAAAAUGACCCCGUAACUUCGGGAGAAGGGGUGCUCUUUAGGGUUAACGCCCAGAAGAGCCGCAGUGAAUAGGCCCAAGCGACUGUUUAUCAAAAACACAGGUCUCUGCUAAACCGUAAGGUGAUGUAUAGGGGCUGACGCCUGCCCGGUGCUGGAAGGUUAAGAGGAGUGGUUAGCUUCUGCGAAGCUACGAAUCGAAGCCCCAGUAAACGGCGGCCGUAACUAUAACGGUCCUAAGGUAGCGAAAUUCCUUGUCGGGUAAGUUCCGACCCGCACGAAAGGCGUAACGAUUUGGGCACUGUCUCAACGAGAGACUCGGUGAAAUCAUAGUACCUGUGAAGAUGCAGGUUACCCGCGACAGGACGGAAAGACCCCGUGGAGCUUUACUGUAGCCUGAUAUUGAAAUUCGGCACAGCUUGUACAGGAUAGGUAGGAGCCUUUGAAACGUGAGCGCUAGCUUACGUGGAGGCGCUGGUGGGAUACUACCCUAGCUGUGUUGGCUUUCUAACCCGCACCACUUAUCGUGGUGGGAGACAGUGUCAGGCGGGCAGUUUGACUGGGGCGGUCGCCUCCUAAAAGGUAACGGAGGCGCUCAAAGGUUCCCUCAGAAUGGUUGGAAAUCAUUCAUAGAGUGUAAAGGCAUAAGGGAGCUUGACUGCGAGACCUACAAGUCGAGCAGGGUCGAAAGACGGACUUAGUGAUCCGGUGGUUCCGCAUGGAAGGGCCAUCGCUCAACGGAUAAAAGCUACCCCGGGGAUAACAGGCUUAUCUCCCCCAAGAGUUCACAUCGACGGGGAGGUUUGGCACCUCGAUGUCGGCUCAUCGCAUCCUGGGGCUGUAGUCGGUCCCAAGGGUUGGGCUGUUCGCCCAUUAAAGCGGUACGCGAGCUGGGUUCAGAACGUCGUGAGACAGUUCGGUCCCUAUCCGUCGUGGGCGUAGGAAAUUUGAGAGGAGCUGUCCUUAGUACGAGAGGACCGGGAUGGACAUACCUCUGGUGUACCAGUUGUCGUGCCAACGGCAUAGCUGGGUAGCUAUGUGUGGACGGGAUAAGUGCUGAAAGCAUCUAAGCAUGAAGCCCCCCUCAAGAUGAGAUUUCCCAACUUCGGUUAUAAGAUCCCUCAAAGAUGAUGAGGUUAAUAGGUUCGAGGUGGAAGCAUGGUGACAUGUGGAGCUGACGAAUACUAAUCGAUCGAAGACUUAAUCAA